rnacentral:rRNA from 1 species
UACGGGGGGGGCAAGCGUUGUUCGGAAUUACUGGGCGUAAAGGGCUCGUAGGCGGCCAACUAAGUCGGAUGUGAAAUCCCCAGGCUUAACCUGGGAACUGCAUCCGAUACUGGAUGGCUUGAAUUCGGGAGAGGGAUGCAGAAUUCCAGGUGUAGCGGUGAAAUGCGUAGAUAUCUGGAGGAAUACCGGUGGCGAAGGCGGCAUCCUGGACCGACAUUGACGCUGAGUGAGCGAAAGCUAGGGGAGCAAACGGG